AGGACGAACGCUGGCGGCGUGCCUAACACAUGCAAGUCGAGCGGAAAGGCCCUUCGGGGUACUCGAGCGGCGAACGGGUGAGUAACACGUGAGCAACCUGCCCUUAGCUCUGGGAUAGCUCCGGGAAACCGGAAUUAAUACCGGAUAUGACCUAGGCCGACAUCGGCCGUGGUGGAAAGUUUUUCGGCUAGGGAUGGACUCGCGGCCUAUCAGCUAGUUGGUGGGGUAAUGGCCUACCAAGGCGACGACGGGUA
rnacentral:rRNA from 1 species